rnacentral:rRNA from 1 species
AUGGUGCUCAAGGGUGUACGUGCAUUACCCAUGACGACAAUAGUUCAAUACACAUUUGACAAGAUGAAUGCAUACUUUCUAAAAUACUGAAUGGAAACGGAUGUUGCGUAGAUUGUGGGUGAGAACAAUCUCAAGUACAAGUACAAGUUCCCACCCAAGGUUGAUGAAUGGUUGGAAUUUCAAUCAUGGAAGGCGGACUCCCAAGAAGCUAUACUAUAUAACAACGACGAUUGGUUGUACGAAGUGAAGGAACCAGGAGGAACCACAAACGAUGGCCGCCAACAUGGAGGUCGGGCUUUCAAGGUCUCCCUAAUACGGGAUUGCUCUUGUGGGAGGCCAUUGUUGCUUCAUCUCCCAUGCUCACACUUGUAUACCGCAUCUCGCCUUAGGAAUGUGGGUGUCAAUCACCCGCUCACCGUGAGGGGGUCAAAGUUACCUAAUCUAUUUCCGGCGCCAUACGGCUCCCAUUCCACCUGCAACAUAGCAUACAACAAGGCAACAUUGAUGUUGAGUUUCCAUAAAAGCGUGACAAUAAGUGAUGCAACGUCAAGGUUACCUGCUCAGCCAUAA